rnacentral:lncRNA from 1 species
UGAGCUUUCUUUUCCUUGCUUGCUUCUUUCCAUCAUUAGCACCAUCGGCUCUCAGAUCACCAAUCUCAUCUUCUGCAGCAAGUCUGGCUAUGAGUUGUUGAGUCCCCAAGUCACAGGUAGCUGGUGGCAAGUAGUCAGUAUUCAAAGUGAACUGCUCUUCUAAGUUUUUUAAAUUUGUUAAUAUUUUUAAUUAAAUUUUGUAAAAUUAUGAUACUUAAAAAUUAAAAAAUUUAAAUGUGCUUGAGGACAAGCAACAUUAACAUUCUCAAACAACAAGCAUCUAACAACAGAUCAAGGCAAGACAACAAGCAUCUAACAACAUAUCAAGGCAUUCCUAUCAAUUCUUACUAGUUCUAAGAAAGACAGCGAGUUCUCACAUCAAUACAUCGAGUUCUAAGCAAGACAAUGAGUUCUCCUAUCUAAACCGUGAGUCCUAUCUAAACAGUGAGUUCCCUUAUCUAAACCGUGAGUCCUAUCAAUGCUUACUAGUUCUGCGUAAGAAGUGACUAACCUAAGGUCCUUAAGCUGUUAUAUCGGAAUGAAAGGCUGGUAAGCUGACAUGCUGACGCCUCCUAGUUCACC